rnacentral:rRNA from 1 species
GUGCCAGCAGCCGCGGUAAGACAGAGGGGGCAAGCGUUGCUCGGAAUUACUGGGCGUAAAGGGCGCGUAGGCGGAAUGGCAAGUCGGUCGUGAAAUCCUUCGGCUCAACCGAAGAACGUCGAUCGAAACUGCCGUUCUUGAGGAUUGCAGAGGAGACUGGAAUUCCCGGUGUAGCGGUGAAAUGUGUAGAGAUCGGGAGGAACACCGGUGGCGAAGGCGGGUCUCUGGGCAAUUCCUGACGCUGAGGCGCGAAAGCGUGGGGAGCAAACGGGAUUAGAAACCCCCGUAGUCC